AUUGAACGCUGGCGGCAUGCCUUACACAUGCAAGUCGAACGGUAACGCGGGGGCAACCCUGGCGACGAGUGGCGAACGGGUGAGUAAUACAUCGGAACAUAUCCAGUAGCGGGGGAUAACCUGUCGAAAGAUAGACUAAUACCGCAUACGAUCUACGGAUGAAAGCAGGGGACCGCAAGGCCUUGCACUAUUGGAGUGGCCGAUGUCGGAUUAGCUAGUUGGUGGGGUAAAAGCCUACCAAGGCGACGAUCCGUAGCUGGUCUGAGAGGACGAUCAGCCACACUGGAACUGAGACACGGUCCAGACUCCUACGGGAGGCAGCAGUGGGGAAUUUUGGACAAUGGGCGCAAGCCUGAUCCAGCCAUGCCGCGUGAGUGAAGAAGGCCUUCGGGUUGUAAAGCUCUUUCGGUGAAGACGAAACGGUCGCGGUAAUAACGCGACUAAUGACGGUACUCACAGAAGAAGCACGGGCUAACUACGUGCCAACAGCCGCGGUAAUACGUAGGUUGCAGGCGUAAUUCGAAAUUACUGGGCGUAAAGCGUGCGCAGGCGGUUUGUUAAGACAGGUGUGAAAUCCCCGAGCUUAACUUGGGAAUUGCGCUUGUAACUGCCAAGCUAGAGUGUGGCAGAGGGGGGUGGAAUUCCACGUGUAGCAGUGAAAUGCGUAGAUAUGUGGAGGAACACCGAUGGCGAAGGCAGCCCCCUGGGUUAACACUGACGCUCAUGCACGAAAGCGUGGGGAGCAAACAGGAUUAGAUACCCUGGUAGUCCACGCCCUAAACUAUGUCAACUAGUUGUCGGGGAAGAAAUUCCUUGGUAACGAAGCUAACGCGUGAAGUUGACCGCCUGGGGAGUACGGCCGCAAGGUUAAAACUCAAAGGAAUUGACGGGGACCCGCACAAGCGGUGGAUUAUGUGGAUUAAUUCGAUGCAACGCGAAAAACCUUACCUACCCUUGACAUGCUAGGAAGCCCGCAGAGAUGUGGGUGUGCCCGAAAGGGAACCUAGACACAGGUGCUGCAUGGCUGUCGUCAGCUCGUGUCGUGAGAUGUUGGGUUAAGUCCCGCAACGAGCGCAACCCUUGCCAUUAGUUGCUACAUUCAGUUGGGCACUCUAAUGGGACCGCCGGUGACAAACCGGAGGAAGGUGGGGAUGACGUCAAGUCCUCAUGGCCCUUAUGGGUAGGGCUUCACACGUAAUACAAUGGUCGGUACAGAGGGCUGCCAACCCGCAAGGGGGAGCUAAUCCCAGAAAGCCGAUCGUAGUCCGGAUUGUAGUCUGCAACUCGACUGCAUGAAGCCGGAAUCGCUAGUAAUCGCGGAUCAGCAUGUCGCGGUGAAUACGUUCCCGGGUCUUGUACACACCGCCCGUCACACCAUGGGAGUGGGUUCCACCAGAAGUAGUUAGCCUAACCGCAAGGAGGGCGAUUACCACGGUGAGAUUCAUGACUGGGGUG
rnacentral:rRNA from 1 species